AGCGAACGCUGGCGGCAGGCCUAACACAUGCAAGUCGAACGAACUCUUCGGAGUUAGUGGCGGACGGGUGAGUAACACGUGGGAACGUGCCUUUUGGUUCGGAAUAACUCAGGGAAACUUGUGCUAAUACCGAAUGUGCCCUUCGGGGGAAAGAUUUAUCGCCAUUAGAGCGGCCCGCGUCUGAUUAGCUAGUUGGUGAGGUAACGGCUCACCAAGGCGACGAUCAGUAGCUGGUCUGAGAGGAUGACCAGCCACACUGGGACUGAGACACGGCCCAGACGCCUACGGGAGGCAGCAGUGGGGAAUCUUGCGCAAUGGGCGAAAGCCUGACGCAGCCAUGCCGCGUGAAUGAUGAAGGUCUUAGGAUUGUAAAAUUCUUUCACCGGGGACGAUAAUGACGGUACCCGGAGAAGAAGCCCCGGCUAACUUCGUG
rnacentral:rRNA from 1 species